ensembl:lncRNA
CCCAGGGCCCCUUUGCUGCAUGUCACCAGAUUAUAGCUCCAGAACCCUUCAAGCAGCGCUGUAUAUCGGAUAUGUGCACUGGCUGGAAGACCAAGGAAGAGGAGGACCUGCGAUGUCGCGUCCUCGGUGGCUACGCCAUCAUUUGCCGGGAUGCAGGUGCCAACAUGACUGGUUGGCGGGACCAGGCACACUGUGGUGAGGCUCUGACUCCUUAGCCACUCUACCCCUGGUUCAAUUCUGCUGCUGCUGCCCGCCACCCUCACCACGGCCUUCUGGCCUUGGCCUUGGUUCUUCCACCCCCAGGUUCAAGACAACUGAUUCCAGAUGGACCCUUCUCCCACCCACUCCUCCACUGCCCAAUCACAUUCCUCCUCCUCCUCUGCCUCAUAUUUUUGUUGUGUUUUCUCUUCUUUUAAUUUUUUCAUAUGUGCAUGUGUGUGUGUGUGUGUGUGUGUGUGUGUGUGUUGUGUUUAUGUGUUUUUGGGUGUGUGCAUGCAUAUGUGUGGAGACCAGAGAAUAGGAGCCAUUUACCUUGUACUUUUGUUUAGGGGGGCAUUACAUGUAUUUGUGUGUGUGUGUGUGUGUGUGUUCAUGCACGCGUUGGUUCUCUUCUACCACGUGGGAGGGAUCUAAUGUAGGCCGCCUUUACCAGGUCUUACUACCCACCAUGGUGUUUUGAGCCGGGGAUCUGUCUCACUAGGACCCAGAGCCUAGUGACUACGUUAGGCUGGCUGCCUAGUGAGUCCCAAUGUCCUCAGGUCUCCACCUCCCCAGAACUGAGAUUACCAGCACAUGAUACCACACCUGCCUAGGAAUUGAACUCAGGUCCUCAUGCUUGAAGUACUUUUUUUUUUUUUUUUUGAUUUAUUUAUUUUAUUUUUGAGUACACUGUAGCUGUCAAAGGGCAUCCGAU